rnacentral:rRNA from 1 species
ACCGGGGCUAAACAUAUUACCGAAGCUGUGGACUACACCAUUAGGUGUAGUGGUAGGAGAGCGUUCUAAGGGCGUUGAAGGUCGAUCGUGAGGACGGCUGGAGCGCUUAGAAGUGAGAAUGCCGGUAUGAGUAGCGAAAGACAGGUGAGAAUCCUGUCCACCGUAUGACUAAGGUUUCCUGGGGAAGGCUCGUCCGCCCAGGGUUAGUCGGGACCUAAGCCGAGGCCGAUAGGCGUAGGCGAUGGACAACAGGUUGAUAUUCCUGUACCAGUUGUUUUUGUUUGAGCAAUGGAGGGACGCAGUAGGCUAAGGAAUGCAUGCGAUUGGAAGUGCAUGUCCAAGCAAUGAGUCUUGAGUAGAGUUAAAUGCUUUACUCUUUAAGGACAAGUUGUGACGGGGAGCGAAAUAAUAGUAGCGAAGUUCCUGAUGUCACACUGCCAAGAAAAGCUUCUAGUGAGAAAACAACUGCCCGUACCGUAAACCGACACAGGUAGUCGAGGAGAGUAUCCUAAGGUGAGCGAGCGAACUCUCGUUAAGGAA